UAGGCGUAGAAGGUGUCAUCCGAGACCG
rnacentral:sRNA from 1 species